rnacentral:tRNA from 1 species
UAGAUUGAAGCCAGUUGAUUAUGGUACUUAGCUGUUAACUAAGAGUUUGCAGGAUAAAAGCCUGUCAGUCUAG